UCUCUUUUUUCUAAUUCUUCUCAAUACUUUCAUGCCUCGUACCUUUUGUCUCGCUUCUCAAUAGCUCUGUUCUUUCUUUUUGGUAGAUUUCUGGAUUGUGAGGCGUGACAGCAUUGAGCUUGUGACGCUAUUCCGGAGGUGCAUGCCCCAUAGAGACUCACUCUUCAUGGCCAGAGUUGGGUUGGACUCAAGUCUAACUGUAUGGUGCAACUCCAUGGAGACCCGGGGCACUACCCCACUGCACCUCUUCCUUUUCAAAAGAAAAACAUAGAUGUUGUUCCCAUUGCUACUCUUCUCAUUUGUUGAUGUUUAAGGAACCCCUCACCUCUCACCAGCAUGUUCUUCUACCCAUCCAUAGAUUGCCAGUUCUGGUUACUGCUGUCGGCUGGGGCGACCACCUCCGCAAGUUAGAAAACAAUACCCAGCUGCGUAGAUUGCUGCCCGAUGAGGCAUGACGCUGUUGAGAUUCCAUCUUUGCUAGUGAGUUGAAGGAAAUCUUUGCCUCUCACCAGUCACUCACUGUCGCCAAGCGGUGUGACCACCUCCACAAUUGAAAAGUGACACUAGGCUGCAUAGGUGAGUAGUUUCUUCCUUGAUUCUUUUGUCAAUUGCCACAUUCAGUCAUUCUCACUCUUUUAUAAUUCUUCUCUGUUCUUUCUUGCUUCGUUUCUACAUUUUUAAUUCUCAGUAAUUUAGUUCUUUUUUUUUGGCGGAUUGUUGGCCCAUGAGGUGUGAUGGUGUUGAGCCCAUGAUGCUGCAGUGGAGGUGGAAGCCCUUACAGCUACACCUAUGACCAAACCCCCUCCGUUGAAUAGCGUUUAUGGAUUAGGGGCUUCUAGGGUUUGAUGGAGGGAGGCAGUGAUGGUGAUUCGUAUGCCCCAUGGAGACCCACUCUUCAUUAGCGGACUUGAGUUGAACUCGGGUUCAAUUUUUGCCUGCUGGUUCUGGUCAUUGUCGCUGGGCAGGCCGACCACCACUGGCUAUGUAGAUUGCUGGAUCGUGAGGCAUGAUAGUGUUGAGCUUGUGACACUACUAUGGAGGCAGAAUCCUGUGUUGUUCCCCACUGGUAACUGUACCCUCACUGCGCUGGGGAGACCCCCUCCACAAGUCAGAAAACAACACCAGGUUUCAUAGUAACUCAGUUCUUUCUUUAGCCAAACUGCUGGCUCAUGAGCAUGACGGCAUUUAGCCCGUGAUGCUGUUGUGGGGGUGGAAGCUCCUGUUGUUAUUCGCGGGUGACUAAACCCUCACACCUUGGACUGCUAGCUUCAGUCACUAUUGUCGGUCGGGGCAACCACCUUUGUAGCAGCAUCACAGGUGUAGCCUCAUUCAGUCAUUCCCUCUUUUUGAUUCCUUCUAGCCUCAUUCAUACCUUCUCACUUCUCUAUAACUCAGUUGUUUCUUUUUGACAUAUUGCUAACCCGUGAGGUGGGUGUAGAGCCCGCGACGCUGCUAUGGAGAUGGAAGCCCAUGUUGUUCUCCACCGGUGACCAAACCCUCACUGCCUUGAGUCUCUAAUCUUACUUCUUAGUUGUUGUCUUUAUUUUUAUUUUUUUGUUUUAGGAUUGUUAUUUAGUUGUUGAAUUAUUGAAUUUACUUCUAGUUCAAUUAGGAAUGUGUCGUACCCUAUAGCAUUUAAGGAUUUGAGGAUUCUAGGCCAAAGGGAUGUAGUGGUAGAGAGACGUAUGCCCCACAAAGACACACUUUUUGUGGGUGGACUUGGGUUGGACCUGGGUCCAACUGUAUGGGGCAGCUCCUUGGAGACCCGAGCAAUGCCAUACCAUGCCUCCUACAUUUCAAAAGUAAAACAGAAAUGCUCCUCCCACUGUGCCUGUUCAUUUUUCUUGAAAUUGAAGGAAUCCCUCGCCUCACCAACAUGUUCUUCUGCUCAUCUGCCGUGUUGCUGGUUCCAGUCACACGCAUGGAGGGUUGACCACCUUUGCAAAUUAAAAAACAACACCAGGCUAUGUAGAUUGUGGGCCUGUGAGGUGUGGCAGUGUUGAGCCUUUGACGAUGUUGAGCCCAUGACAUUGCUGUGGAGGUGGAAGCCCCUGCUUUUCUCCAUCGGUGACCAAACUUUCACUGCCACCACCAGUUUCUGUCACUGUUGUUGGCUGGAGUGACGACCUCUGUAGGUCAGAAAACAACACCCAGCUGCACAGCCAAUUGUUAGCCUGUGAGGUGUGUGAGUGUUGAGCCUGUGACACUGCUGCAGAGGUGGAAGACCUUGUUGUUCUUCAUCAGUGACUAAACCCUCACUACUGUGGAAGCCUCUCUUAUUCUCCACUGGUGACCAAACCCUCACUGCCGGAUUUGCCAUAGCCUAUAGCGAUUAGGGAUUUGGGCUUAUAGGAUUUGUCGGAGUGUGGCAAUGGUGGAGAGGCGUAUGCCCCAUGGAAACCCACCCUUCAUUGGUGUACUUGGGUUGGACUUGAGUCCAACUGUAUCGGCCGGCCCCAUGGAGACCCGGGGCAUUGCCCCACCACGCUUCUUGCUUUUUGAAAGAAAAAUAAAAAUGCACCUCCUACUAUGGCUCUUCACUUUCCUUGAAGUUGAGGGAAUCCCUCGCGUCUCAUCGGCUUGUUCUUCUACACGUCUAUUGGACUGCUAGUACCGAUCACUAUCCUCAGGCGGAGCAACCACCUCUCCAAGUUGAAAAACAACAUCCAUCUGCAUAAAUUGUUGGCUCGUGAGGUGUGACAGCAUUGAGCCCAUGACACGCUAUGGUGGUGGAAGCCCCUACUUUUCUCCAUCGGUAACCAAACCCUGACUGCCGGUUUUGAACCCUCAAAGCAAGUUGCUCUACAGUUGCUAGGGUCAGACAACGAGAACUUUCCUAUGCAUAAGCUAGGUGUGGAUAUGCUAAGGAAAUUGUCACUUCAUCAUGGCUAUGUUUUGGUUUUACUAUUUGAUGGUUUUGUAAGGAGGAAUGAGGUCAUAUGUGAUGUUUCUUGUGAUAAUUAUGUACUUUAACCCAACUAUAUUCUUAUUGCAUUUGAACAACCAAUUUGACAUCAUGCAGCUGCCAAAAAAGUCAUUUUGUAGUUACAUGGCCUGAAAGAAGGAAGAUGAGAAUUAAUCUCAGUCAGUCGGGCAUAGCAUGCUGGCAUUCAAUGCAAUCUUUGCUUUUGGCUAUUGUUUUACAUAUAGUAAAUUAUAAAAUUGAGAAUUUUAGUUGCAUUAUUGUGACUCAUUCUAACCUUUAUGUUGGUUCCAUAUCUAACUUGUGUAGAAGCUCAAGUUCCUAAGGCAUUAAUAACUUAUUUUUAAUUUUUAAUUUCAUAUGCAUUUUACGUGAGAUUGGUAACCCUAAUUUUUCUCCAUAUUCAGUAAUCUCCUAUCCACAACAAAAAGUGGGUUCCAGUAACAUGUCUAAAGAAUUUUAGUUUCAUGUUGGGUUGCCAUAGCAGAUUGUUUUGAACAGGCUAGAACUUGAAUGAACUGGUGGAAGCUAUUUUUUCUUUUAUCUUUAUUAUGUAGCAUGCCAUGAAGUAAGGGUUUAGAUACAGAAAAGUGAACUAGGUCGUUAGCUCAAGUUGGAAAGGUUGUUAACUCUCAAAAGCCAUUGAUAGUUAAGGUUAAACCAUUUUGCAAGUUAGAAUCAAGGGGAUCUAUCUAUUUAUUAACUUUAUUUAUAGGCUUGCAUUUACUUAGAAAAACACGUUCUUAGAUUUUCAACUAAAGAACACUUGCAGACUGCAGUCAUAAAUGUCAAGUGACUUCUAUAUACAUGAUUGCCAUCAUGCUUUGAGUUGCUAUGCUCUUGUUUUUGAUGCAGUAUAUACUCCCAUAAACACCAGAUUACUGCAUGGAUCAGUCAUUAGAGGAAUCAAGAGUUGUUCUAGUUAGUGGCAUGGAGAUGUUCAUUAGACAGGCAAGGGGAUAAUUCAAACACUUCAUUGGUUUACUUGGUAGGGAUUCAGUUUUCUCACAUAAAAUUGUUGUUUUGAAUGCUUAAUUUUAAAAUUUUGAUCUAUCUAAUUUUAUAUGUUGCGUGCACCUAAGAACCUGAUGCGCAAUAUCCUAAAUUAAUUUUAGGAUUCUACAAGCUCAUGGACUGCGUCAUCCUUGCCCAUAAAAGGUUAUAUGUCUCUUAUUUGACCAACAUUAUAUGUUUGAUCUAGAGACUCUUCUUAUUGUUGUGUUGUACUUUUUAAAAUUUGACACUAUAUUGAUCUCUCAUGGUUCACACGGUGAGGUGCUUUAUUUGUCAAGAAAGUUUUCAUAUUUUAGGGCUGCCAUAUUUUGACACUUUUUUGAGUUCGCUUCAUUCACAAAUCCUAUUUAACUGUUAUAUUUGUAUAUGGUUUUUAGUGUAACUCAAGUUAGCUAGGUUUGCUCCUUAUGAGAGGAUGAUAACUAAAUUUCUGAAGGUUGGUACAUAAACUUCCUGUACUUACUAAGAGGAUGAUAGACUUUAUGAGGAUUUCUUGUAGAUUAUCUGAAUGUCAUUUGAAGGUUUCUAUUUUAAUUUUGUAACAAUUUUAACAAUAUUGACAAUCUUCUAUUAAGGUAAUGAUCUUUUUUUGGCGUUUUUGAA